AGUAACGCGUGAGUAACCUGCCUUACACAAGGGGAUAGCCGUUGGAAACGACGAAUAAUACCCUAUGACGUUUCUAUCUCGCAUGAGAUAUUAACCAAAGUGUUAGCGGUGUAAGAUGGACUUGCGUCUGAUUAGCUAGUUGGUGAGAAAAGCCCACCAAGGCAACGAUCAGUAGCCGGCCUGAGAGAGUGUACGGCCACAUUGGGACUGAGACACGGCCCAG
rnacentral:rRNA from 1 species